rnacentral:lncRNA from 1 species
CAACUCGCCCUUUGGAAAGAAGACUGCACGUUGUGCCUUUCAGCUCUAGGGCAAUGUAGAAUACCAGAGCAGAAGUUCUACUUCAGCCAGAUCAGGCCUGCAAAGAAACUGCUUUUCACAGGUCUUUGUAAGAGAUGUUCCCGGUAGGCUGUAAGAGCACUGUGCAGAGCGAGUUCUUUCUUAGCUUCCCAAAGAGCUGGAAGCAAGAUGCUUUGGGGCCCAACUCGCCCUUUGGAAAGAAGCCUGCACGUUGUGCCUUGCAGCACUAGGGCAAUGUAGGACACCCAGAGCAGAAGUUCUACUUCAGCCAGAUCAGGCCUGCAAAGAAACUGCAUUUCACAGGCCUUUGUAAGAGAUGUUCCUGGUAGGCUGUAAGAGCACUGUGGAGAGCGAGUUGUUUCUUAGAUUCCCACCACCUUGGAACUUCUACUCAAAGCCAUGACCUACAUUGCUCCAGAGGUGCAAGUGACAAAGCUAUGAGUCAUUGCCUCCAAAGGAGACAAGCCACAAACAGUCUUGCUUCCAGCUCUGGGAAGCUAAGAAACAACUGGCUCUCCAUAGUGCUCUUAUAUCUACCGGGAACAUAUCUCACAAAGGCCUGUGAAAUGCAGUUUCUUUCCAGCCCUGAUAUCACUGAAGUAGAAAUUCUGCUCUGCCGUGUCCUACAUUGCCCUAGACAUGCAAGGCACAAUUUCCUGGCUUGUUUCCUCAAGGGAAGGCAGGCCACAAAGCGUCUUGCUUCCACUCACUGGGAAGCUAAGAAACAACUCGCUCUCCACAGUUCUCUUGCAGCCGACCAGGAACAUCUCUCUCAGGGGCCUGUGAAACACAGUUUCUUCUCAGACCUGAUCUCUCUGAAGAAGAACUUCGGCUCUUCCGUGUCCUACAUUGCUCUAGAUAGGCAAAGCACAAAGCCCUGCCUAUUUUCCUCAAGGGGAGACAGGACACAUAAGUCUUGCUGCCAGCUCUUUGGGAAGCUAAGAAACAACUCGCUCUCCAAGGUGCUCUUGCAGCCUACCUGG